CCCAGCGGUAGUCAGCUGUCCAGGCGGCUCCCCCUGCCUGUGCCGGUGUUACACUGCUGGGAGAGGAAGGCGUGGGAGACACAGUUUUUGUGGCUGCUGAAGCCGGGCUGUGGCCACGCUGUGCACCCUCUGAGAGUGGACUGAACCAGCUCCCCUGGAACAGCCCUAGACUGGAUGCACACAGA